CUAUGAAAUAACCUUUGGUGUCAUGACUUGUGAAAGGGGAAAGCUCUUGGCAUCUAGUGGCCACCGAAGCCAUUAAGCAUUCUACAGUGAAGAGGACAAUCUCCUCCAGCUAAAGAUUAUCCAGGUCUACACUUUUCACCACCUGUGGACACGUCCCUACUGAGGAAGUUUCUUCUGCUUUAUAUUUCAAGAGGCUGUGGAUCCAACCAAGCCUUUGAAGCGUAGUCACGGCACACCCAAACGAAAAAGAAGAAGCCCAAGCUACAAGAACUUUGCUAUGGAGGACACACUUGAAAAUCUAUAUGAUUUCCUUGACAUUUUCCAAACUAUAAAAUGACAUGACUAUUCUGGUGGUUUGGUCCCUUUGGUUUUAUUCAAGGAUUUGCUUCGGGCAGUACUUUAGAAUCAAGCUUUUUAAAGGCCAAGAGUUUAAACAAACACACACACACACACACACACACACACACACACACAC